ACCCUACUCCUCCCUAAGACU
rnacentral:tRNA from 1 species